rnacentral:rRNA from 1 species
AACGAACGCUGGCGGCAGGCCUAACACAUGCAAGUCGAACGCUCCGCAAGGAGAGUGGCGGACGGGUGAGUAACACGUGGGAAUCUUCCUAUCGGUACGGAAUAGCUCAGGGAAACUUGAGGUAAUACCGCAUACGCCCUUCGGGGGAAAGAUUUAUCGCCGAUAGAUGAGCCCGCGUCUGAUUAGCUAGUUGGUGGGGUAAUGGCCUACCAAGGCGACGAUCAGUAGCUGGUCUGAGAGGAUGACCAGCCACACUGGGACUGAGACACGGCCCAGACUCCUACGGGAGGCAGCAGUGGGGAAUAUUGGACAAUGGGCGCAAGCCUGAUCCAGCCAUGCCGCGUGAGUGACGAAGGUCUUCGGAUUGUAAAGCUCUUUUGCCAGGGACGAUAAUGACGGUACCUGGAGAAUAAGCCCCGGCUAACUUCGUGCCAGCCGCCGCAGUAACAC